CUGACACUGAGCGGCAGGGGCUUCCAGGGGAGCCCUGGAAGGAUCUGGAAAUGGGUGAAGUUCAAAUCCCAAAACUCCAUGCUGCCCUGAAGGGGAGGGUGAGGCAAGAGGCCUGGCAGCCCCCAGGACGCCUACAGCUGCUAGCCACAUACACACCCUCCUCCGGGCACCGCCAGCGCUGUGGCCUGUGCCUGUCCUUGUGCUGGUCCUGCGCCCAGGGGCAGUGGUGUGAGGACUGAGACUGGAGGCCUGACUGCCUGAGACCCCCGGCCCCUCCUUGCUGUGUUGAGCCAAAUGUGAAGCUGGGUAUCCAGCCAAGAGGAAGCCCUGGAGCCCAGACCUGGGCCCCGCUCCCCAAGGAGCACAUACUCCCGGCUUGCUGUCCUGGCACAGCUCAAUGACACACGCUUUCCAGGCCUGCCUGGUGUUUGCCCAGGGAGACUGCAAGCUCUCUGCAGGCAGAGCCCACUGUCCCUGGAGCACUGCUCCCAAGGGCUGGCCAGCACUCCCAUCUGGCACCCAGCUCUGAGCGUCCAGGACCCUCCAAGCCCCCAGUGCCCCCAUCCAGGCUGAAGCUCACCCUUGAGCUCCAGGUUGGAGGGGAAGACUGUCGACCCCAGGUCAAAGACCUGUGGUCAAACAGAACCCACCCGAGCCUACAGGAUUUAGCCAGACUUUAGCUUUUCUGUGUUGGCUGGCCCCUGUCUCUCCCAGCCCCAACUCCAAGCAGGCAAAGCUGGUAGCCCACUAGCUCAGGGAGGUCUUCUGGUUUCUGUCCCCACCUCACCAGGAGCAGGCUGGGACAGCUCUGGGGCUUGACAGGGGCUCUGCCCCGAGGUGG
rnacentral:lncRNA from 1 species